rnacentral:rRNA from 1 species
CUACGGGAGGCUGCAGUGGGGAAUAUUGGACAAUGGGGGAAACCCUGAUCCAGCAAUGCCGCGUGUGUGAAGAAGGCCUGCGGGUUGUAAAGCACUUUCGGUUGGGAGGACUGCUUCUAGCACUAAUAUUGUUGGAAGUUGACGUUACCUUCAGAAGAAGCACCGGCUAACUCCGUGCCAGCAGCCGCGGUAAUACGGAGGGUGCAAGCGUUAAUCGGAAUUACUGGGCGUAAAGCGCGCGUAGGCGGCUAGAUCAGUCGGGUGUGAAAGCCCCGGGCUUAACCUGGGAACUGCAUCCGAUACUGUCUAGCUUGAGUACAGGAGAGGAGAGUGGAAUUCCACAUGUAGCGGUGAAAUGCGUAGAUAUGUGGAGGAACACCAAUGGCGAAGGCAGUUCUCUGGCCUGAUACUGACGCUGAGGUGCGAAAGCGUGGGGAGCGAACAGGAUUAGAUACCCGCGUAGUC